AGGAACAAUUGGAGGGCAAGUCUGGUGCCAGCAGCCGCGGUAAUUCCAGCUCCAAUAGCGUAUAUUAAAGUUGUUGCAGUUAAAAAGCUCGUAGUUGAACUUUGGACUUAUAUUACUAGUCAGAUGGAAAUCUAGUACUAGAAAGAAUAUAAGUCUUUCCUUCUGGGUAAAUUAUUAAAAUUUUAAUAAUUGAACCAGGACGGAUUACUUUGAAAAAAUUAGAGUGUUCAAAGCAGGCGAGAAGCAUGAAUAUAUUAGCAUGGAAUAAUAGAAUAGGACGUUUGGACCUAUUUUGUUGGUUUCUAGGACCAUCGUAAUGAUUAAUAGGGACGGUCGGGGGCAUCAGUAUUCAAUUGUCAGAGGUGAAAUUCUUAGAUUUAUUGAAGACUAACUACUGCGAAAGCAUUUGCCAAGGACGUUUUCAUUAAUCAAGAACGAAAGUUAGGGGAUCGAAGAUGAUCAGAUACCGUCGUAGUCUUAACCAUAAACUAUGCCAACUAGGGAUCGGGUGGAGUUUAAAUAGAGACGCACUCGGGACCUUAAGAGAAAUCAAAGUAUUUGGGUUCUGGGGGGAGUAUGGUCGCAAGGCUGAAACUUAAAGGAAUUGACGGAAGGGCACCACCAGGAGUGGAGCCUGCGGCUUAAUUUGACUCAACACGGGGAAACUCACCAGGUCCGGACACAAUAAGGAUUGACAGAUUGAGAGCUCUUUCUUGAUUUUGUGGG
rnacentral:rRNA from 1 species